rnacentral:ncRNA from 1 species
UGGGCAGUAUCCGACGGAACUGCACCUGCAAAACGAUUUUAUUUUUCAAUACAGUCUGCCUUGAUCCAAAAAGGACUGGGACAGAGGG